AUGUCCCAGCCGCUGGUGUGCUACCAAUCCAAGUGUUCAUCCAUUCUGGUCUAUUUUGUUUGGAUAAUUAUGGAGGCCGUGGUUCUGGUAUUUGUAUGUAUUCGCAAAUUGUUCACAAGGCCUGGAGGAAAUAAUGAGGAUUGGAGAUGCACUGGGCAUGCCAUGGCAACGAAACAAAAGCUAAUUACUUCAAUUCAAUUAUGCAAGUUGCAGGUGAUUGCUUUAAUCCAAUUUUGCAAGCAAUCUGAAGCCAACAAGCUGAGUUUCUUGCCAAAGUGGUGGCGGUUAGAGAUCUAUAAUACAUGUGGUGUGCAGUUUAAAUUAUUUAAGGAAGAUUUGAUUUUCCCCACAAAAAAAGGAAGACUUGAUUGGAUGCCUCGAUAUGCUACCCCGUUAAGCCCAAUAUUGACUGGAUGCCAUCGACCGUGGCUUCUCCACAUAUCUGGAUUGUGCUCCUCCGCCCUGGCGUUCCCCAUCCCUUGUAUCGCUGGCGUUAGUGUGGCCCGAUUGCCGGCGUUCGGCUAG
rnacentral:rRNA from 1 species